rnacentral:rRNA from 1 species
UACAGAGGUCCCGAGCGUUUGUUCGGAUUCAUUGGGCGUAAAGGGUGCGUAGGCGGCUUCCUAAGUUUGAUGUGAAAUCCUGGGGCUCAACCCUGGAACUGCAUUGAAUACUGGGAGCUAGAGUACUGGAGAGGAAAUGGGAAUUUACGUGGUAGCAGUGAAAAUGCGUAGAGAUCGUAAGGAAGACCAGUGGCGAAGGCGAGUUUCUGGACAGUUACUGACGCUGAGGCACGAAGGCCAGGGGAGCAAACGGG